GACGAACCGUGCGAACGUUGUUCGGAAUCACUGGGCUUAAAGGGCACGUGGCGGGCUGCCGAGUCCGGGGUGAAAUCCUGCGGCUUAACCGCGGAACUGCCCCGGAUACUGGCGGCCUCGAGCGGGGUAGGGGCGUGCGGAACUCUGGGUGGAGCGGUGAAAUGCGUUGAUAUCCAGAGGAACUCCGGUGGCGAAGGCGGCACGCUGGACCCCGUCUGACGCUGAGGCGCGAAAGCUAGGGGAGCAAACAGG
rnacentral:rRNA from 1 species